AGUGACCUCCGGCUUCUCUCUUGCUGGUGUGCUUGUACUUCCUUUCGCUGAGUUAUGAGGCCAGACCUGCCUGCCUGGCAUUUGCUUCCCUUGGUUCACCAAAAGUGCUCUCGAGAAUAGCGCUCCAGUCCCAGAGCUGACUUCAGACAGGGCAGUGCCAAAGUCAAGUCCGUGACCUCGGGACCUGGAAGGGGCUUCGGGUCACCGGUGGCGAGAGUGCAAAGUCCGGGGAAAGCCGAGGCUGCUGUCUGGCCCCAGUAACUUGAUGCCCGUGACAGUUGGCAGCUGCAGCCGCUUCCGCAGAGAAAAGCGGCAGGCCGGCCAGGAGCGACAGGUGUUGGCCGCGCCUUUGUCUAGCUGGCUUUGUCCUGCAGGCUGCAACAGGCACGCCUGUGUCGGCCAGACGCCCAAGCCCCGCGUCGUCGGCGGUCCAUCUGCCGGCCCUGCCUCGCCGCGGGAGGGGUGUGUGUGUGUGUGUGUGUGUGUGUGUGUGUGUGUGUGCGCGCGCGCGCGCCCCCUCGGAACCCCUGGCUCUGCUCCAGCGUUCUUGGAUUUCGGCUGCUGCUUUAGAGCCAGGACAAGGAGCCAGCUCCUAAUCAGCCUUUACAUACUCCAUCCUUAGGCCUGGACACCACUAAGCACUUCAGUGGCUGCCUGCCUGGGCACCGUUGAGGUCUUGGUAACUGGUGCUUCAGUCAGCCUGGCUGGAAGACCUUUGAGGAAGGGAAAGUACAAGCAGGCAUCAAUUUAUUUUAUUUUAGUGACUCCAUUAGCCAAGUGGCUUAGACUCCAUUGGUCCCAGCAGCGUGACUACUCACCCCAUCUCAGGCUCAGGAAACCCUUCUCCUGUUCACCUCCCUCAGUUAAACUACUAGUUCCUGCCAUUUGUCCCCUGAACCAUACCCUACCUUCAAAGUUUGCCUGCAUGCAGAUUUCCUUAGUAGUAGGGCCUUUUAAUCCCCCCCCCCCCCCCCAGGCAGGAACAGAGAACCCCAGAGGCUAGGCAAGGCCAUGAUGGCCACAGGGUGACUAGUUAGCAGCAGAAAUUAACAGGCUGUAAAUCCCCAGAGGGACAAAGGCAGCUGUAGGCCUGCAGACUUCCAAGGGCUUUGUGGGCAAUCUGCCCAGGAGACCCCAAGAAUUUCCUUUUGGUUUGAAGAGAAAGGAGAGGGGCAGUCCUUCUGGCCGUAAAGUUCAAUUAAGAGUCCUCCAAAGGAACAGUGAAGCAGUCCUACCUGCCACGAGAACUUUGUGUCAGACUGCACCAGUACUUGCAGUCAGAAGGCAGGUUCAGAGCACCCAGAAGCAGACCGUGAGUGAGGUCCAGUGUCAUGUUGCCCCUCUGCUCCGGUCCCUGGGACCCUGGUUUGGAGAGAGGAAAGGGAAGCAGGUCUCUUCAGAGUAGCUCUCACAAGGCUGUCAAUCAGGAAGGGUCAGGUAGGAGGCCUGUGUCCCCAGUGAUGCCUAUAUACUGAUCCUAACGGUAUAUAGGUCCUUUCUAGCAUGGUACUUGUCUGAUUUCUCUGCAAUCAGCCCUGAGACCAACACACAGGCAAACAGCCAAAGGCGGGAUUAUUGGGAGAGUGCGUGCUGGGCGGGGGUCAUGCUAAGCUGAGGGGCAGCCUAGUGAAUCUGCUAAACUGUGUGCAUGUAAAGAGACACCAAGAGAAAGGGACCUGGGGAUGCCUGGCUAGAUCUGCAUCAUAGGAAAUCCCUACAGGGUUUGAAUGGCCCAGAGAGACUGAGCAUGUGAGAGAUACACAGACAGGAGAUCGGCCAGCAAAGCCCACAGUGCAAGGGAAGUAAGAGCUGCUGGCUUCUGGAACUGGAGAUUUCCUAAUGUACCAUUUUGAAGUUCUUAAAAA
rnacentral:lncRNA from 1 species